rnacentral:lncRNA from 1 species
AGAAAAUAGAGUGAGGAGAAGAGAGAAUAAGAGAGUGAUUUUGAGAGGGGUUUUUUUUUUUUUUUUUUUUUUUUUGUAAAUUCUCUUGUAAAAUUCUAUUCAAGUAAGAAAUAGAAUUAUUUUUCCUCUUCAUCUUCUCUUCUUGUGAUCGAAGAAUCACAACAAGUGGUAUCAGGGCGAGAUUUAUCAAUUGGCCCUUGUAAUUUUUGAUAUAGCUUCGAUUUUGAUAAAGCAUUUGUAAGCCAAGAUGUCAAUGGAGGAAUCUCAUCGGGAGCUAUGAUCAAGCUCAUCGCCACCAAUUACACACUGUGGAGCCCUCGGAUGGAAGACCUCCUCAAUUGUAAGGAUUUGUAUAACCCCCUAGAAACCAAAGGUCUAAACCCCGAUCGUACCAAGGAGACAAAGUGGAAGAUGCUAAACAGGAAAACUAUCGGUCAAAUUUGACAAUAGAUUGACCAUAGUAUCUUUCACCAUGUGGCACAAGAGACAGAUGCAUAUGCCCUCUGAAAGAUUCUGGAGGACAUGUACCAAGCCAAGAUCGCUUAGAACAAAGCCCUGUUGAUGAGGCGUUUGGUGAAUCUGAAGUUAAAGCGUGGAACUUCAGCUGCUGAGCACACUAGUGAAUUUCAAAGUUUGGAGAACCAAUUGUCAUCUAUGGAGAUGCCGCUCGGGGAUGAAAUGCAAGCUUUACUACUUUUAAAUUCUCUUCCUAAUAGUUGGGAGGCACUAGUAGUAUCUCUCAGCAACUCAACCACUAAUGGCAAAUUUACCAUGUUUAUGGUCAAUGAUGUCCUAUUUAAUAAAGAGGUCAGGAGAAAGGAUGUCGACACGGACUAGUCAUAUGCCCUUGUCACAGAGAAUUGGGGAAGACAACAAGGAAGCGUUAGGCAAGGAAGAGGUAGAAGCAAAAGUGGGGUAGAUCCAUAGAUGGAAGGAAGCCUACUUACAAGUGCUAUUAUUAUGGUAUGGAGGGCCACUUGAAAAAGAACUAUUGAAAAUUGCUACGAGAGCAAAGCUAGAACAGUUCGCAGCCAAAAAAUAAGGAAGAAGAGAUACUAGUCACUAUUUCUGGGGAUGUGGCUAUCUACUCCAUCCAUGAGGAGAAAUGUGUUUAUGUCUCAAACCAAGAUAUUUAGUGGAUAAUAGAUACAACAACAUCUUACCACGCCACUCUACGUAGAGAUUUCUUCACAACAUACAAAGCUGGCGACUUCGGUGCAGUGAAGAUGGGAAAUACCAGUUUUUCUAAGAUCGUAGGAAUUGGUGAUAUUCAGUUACAAAUGAACCUCGGGUGUAAAAUAACCAUGAAAGAUGUUCGACAUGUACCAGAUCUUCGGUUAAAUCUACUUUCGGAGAUAGCCCCUUGACAAACAGGGCUAUGUCAAUCAUUUUAGCAAUGACACAUGGAAAAUGAUGAAAUGUUCCAUGGUUGUCGCUCUAGGACAUAUAUGUGGCACUUUAUACAAGACUCAUGUGAAAAUGCAUAUGGAUAGCCUCAACGUAGUAGAACGUGAAGCUUCUCAAAAUUUGUGGCACCAAAGACUUGGUCAUAGGAGUGAGAAG